UUACUUACCUGACAGGGGAGAGACCAUAAUCUUGAAGGUGGUUUUCCCAGGGCAAGGCUAUCCCAUUGCACUUUGGGUGACACCUGUGAUGUCCUCAAAUGCAGGAUACAUGACUGCAAAAUUUAUGGUAGUGGGGAACUGCAUUUGUACUCUGAA